CUUUAAUGAUGAUAUCAAAAAGGUUUCGCAUGUAUCUGAUCACAUGAAAUGACGAUAAACCUUGGCUGUCUGAUGGU
rnacentral:snoRNA from 1 species